rnacentral:rRNA from 1 species
GUGGGGAAUAUUGGACAAUGGGGGGAACCCUGAUCCAGCCAUGCCGCGUGUGUGAAGAAGGCCUUUUGGUUGUAAAGCACUUUAAGCGAGGAGGAGGCUACCGAGAUUAAUACUCUUGGAUAGUGGACGUUACUCGCAGAAUAAGCACCGGCUAACUCUGUGCCAGCAGCCGCGGUAAUACAGAGGGUGCAAGCGUUAAUCGGAUUUACUGGGCGUAAAGCGCGCGUAGGUGGCCAAUUAAGUCAAAUGUGAAAUCGCCGAGCUUAAAUUGGGAAUUGCAUUCGAGACUGGUGGGCUAGAGUAUGGGAGAGGAUGGUAGAAUUCCAGGUGUAGCGGUGAAAUGCGUAGAGAUCUGGAGGAAUACCGAUGGCGAAGGCAGCCAUCUGGCCUAAUACUGACACUGAGGUGCGAAAGCAUGGGGAGCAAACAGGAUUAGAAACCCGUGUAGUCC